CGAUAGCUCAGUUGUGAGAGCGUCAGACUGAAGAUCUGAAAG
rnacentral:tRNA from 1 species